UGGUAGAGGGGACGCCGCUGCACGUGCGUGAAUGUCCGGAGCCAGUCUCAGCUCGAGGUGAGCACGCUAGCCCUUACCCUAACUCUACUUGACUUCUCGAUCUAUCAAUCUGAACUUAGAUUUUGUUCAGAUUUGCGGCGAUUUUGUUCAGAAUGCAUCCUUCGCCCCUGAAAAAUUCUCAGAUUUUGUUCAGUGAUGUAGCUAUGGGGAUGUGGUGGUCUUGUGUCUGAUUUCUUUGCCCACACUUUGGGGGUAGUACUGUACAGAGGGCAAUUGGGAAUUGAACAAUCAAAUGUUCUGCAACUCAUCCAGAAACUUAUGUUACUUAUGAUACUGACGACAAUAGGCUAUAUGCGAUUCUCAUGUAGCCGGUUUUAACUGAAGUUUAACAUAUUGAUAUACAUCAUUUUUAUAUUGUUGAAGAGAGGUCAUAAAAAAUGUCAAUUA
rnacentral:lncRNA from 1 species